AUAAGGCUAUGCAGUCUCCAAAGCGUGAUCUGGGAUGAAGCUCCAUGAGAGUAAACGGAAUACCAGUUGGUGGAAAAUAACAAGAUAAAAACCUACAAGCAGACAUAGUCAUUGUAAAAUCCUGCAUGUCCAGAUGCAGAAAAGUCUCCGAAGGAAGGAGAAAAGGCCAACUUAAUUGUGAUCAAUGAUCUCCACUUAAAAGACUAUUGGAUGACUUGUGGUAUUGUAUUUUCGGUAGCUUCUUCCUGUAAAGAAGUCCAGGUCAAAGCCACAAGAGAGGCCCAGGAGGAAAUGCAGUCCAAAGCAUUUAAAAAAUGAAUUUCUUUUCUUCUGACAUGAAAUUUCCUUCUUAAACUGCCAUUUCUGUGAGGUCAAUGAUAUGAACUUGUCCGGUCUUGGAUGGGCUGCGUGAGUUCAUAGCUGCUGGGCUGGGCUCAGUUAACAGAUAAAAGUGAAACUCCCAGGUUCCCUGCUAUCUUCAGUGUCUACAGGCAACCAAGAAACGCUUCUAGAAGCAGUAGCUGUCUUCUUAGAUGAAACCUUUCCUACCUCGAAUGGAAAGAGUAUAUGACUCUCUCCUUUGGGCUUAAUUUAUAAAUAUCUUGAACACACUAUGUUGUCAGAGGAGUUUUUCAAUUUUAAGUGACUAGAAAUAAAACUCAAAAUAAUUGAAUGAAAACAAGUCUCAUUUGUAGGGUCUCGGGGCGUUAAGAUCUCAGGUCUCUAUCAUCUUCAUUUUGUCUUCAGAUCUCAGUUUGUUCUGGUGGCAAAUGGCUGCCAGCCUCAACCUCAGUUUCCACCCGUGUAGGAAAAUAAAGUCUUUUGGUUAGAAAAUGACGGAGAAAAUGUUGAGAUUUACUCUACCUUUCCCUUUUCCAGCUGACUGUGUCACUAGAAUGAAAGGAAACUGUCUGG
rnacentral:lncRNA from 1 species